AAAUUGAUGGCAUAGAAAUGAAACUGUCUAAAGGCAUCAUUCUCCUUUUUCUGGGAUUGUUUUUUAAGGUGGGAUAAUAUUUAAUUAUUAUAAAAGUUCUUCAGUUAUAUACACAAUUUAUUACAUUUAGCAUUAACUCUUUAACACUUUUGUUUGAUAGGUUGCUGUGGCAGGUAAUAUAAAUGUAUAUAUAUGAAUAUAUAUAUUUUUUUCUAGCUCAUUAUCAUAAUCUAUGGAAUAAAUAAUAUGUAUUUUUCCAUUAAUGGUUUGCAUGUUAGACUGAAUACUGUCAUAAUGCUACAUUCCAGGGUAUUCCACACAGGUGUACUGGUUAGAGCUUGAAAUCGAGUCAUCGGUGUAUGACUAUGUUGUUGAGCUUCUGAUGGAGCAGACACACAUAGACAUUGCUAAUGCAAUUGUAACAGACAUCAAAAACACAACAGAUUGCACACUGAAAGAUAAGAAAAAUAUUUGUUUAUGCAUGCCGGGAUACAAAUGGAGUGAGGACAUGUGCAAAAAUCAUGGCUGCUGCAAUAACAGCUGCACGCUAAAUCUUAAUGACAUUGCUGUGUGUCUGCCUGAAACAAGAGGUAGAGUAUUGUUUGAUAUGGGCACAGGAUUUCAUCAUAAAAAUAAAUAAAUAAAUAACGGUCUUUGAAUGCUGUGAUUCUUAUUUUUUCCAGUAAGCAUCAAUGGAUUAACUGAAUUUAAUAGGGUUUGCAGGUAUUUAUGCUACCCAAGCAAAAAAGGUUCUCAAGAUUACAAUGCUGAGGAAAAGGAUAUUACUGAUAUGCUUCUGGAAAAAUUCAGCACACUGAAAUAUUUUGAUUCUCUGAUUAUCAACAGUUACAGGAGCGGCAGCGUGAUUGUAGAUUAUACGGUGCAGUUAAUGAGUUCAGUUACAAUUGAUGAGUUGGAAAAUUUUACCCAAACACUGCCUAAUUCUGUUCUGGUAACAACAGGCCUCAUCACUAUUAACGGUCCUCAGAAGGCAAUUGACAUCGGCUCCUCUGUAAGUAUAACUUGUAAUCCACCACAAGAGCUGGGAGAGGUAAAGUGGUUCUUAACAGAUAGGCAGAACAAAACAACAGAGAUCACAAUAGGAAAAGAGGCCGCCUUGAAGAAGAUCAAGUUGAUGGACAUUGUUGAACUGUAUGACAUUUCAGGAAGCUGGAAAGGAACACUAAAAUGUGUGUACAAAAGAAGGUCCAUAGAACACACAGCAAGUACAGAGUUGGACAUAGCACUUCUG
ensembl:lncRNA